GACAAGGAAACAAGUUUCUUGUCGGCUGCUUUUUUUUGCCCCGCCAAAAAAGUACAUGUCAUUGGCAUUGUCUCUAUCAAUUGACAUUUCUCAGUUUUAGAAUUAUAACUUCCAAUUUGAAAUAGACGGAGGAGAUAGAGUACUUCAACUAAAAACAGCAACACAUGAACGAUCAACAAAUAGAAGAAACCUCGUGGUCGUUUUCAGUCAUCAUUUGUUUUCUUCAUGUGGACAUCUAAAACCAUUCUGCUGUGAAAAAUUAAGGAAACGCUUAUGGACACGGUUUUUAAUUAUCGGAUUAGUGGAUAUUACGCAGAAACGGGAGGGAUAAUUAGGCUUCUCACAAGAGACGCAUUUAUCUGGAUCAUCGCUUACUAAGUAAAAGUUGUUUUGACCUCGGCUCAUUCUAAAAGUAGAAGAAGCUUGCUUUAAAAACGUGCCCAAGUCCAAUUAGAAGCAAUCUAACUAAUACAAUUCAAAGCAUUCCGCAUGAAUUUGAAUUGACUUGCUCAUCUGCAGAACUUGGAAACCAAGAUUUCUUAUCCCUCCCGUAGUCAAAAUUGGCAAGACAUUUUCUGUAGUUCAAGAAGCAUUUGAAGCUUGGGAGGAAAUUUUCGAAAUGUCAAGUUUAGUUCAAAAAGAAUUAAUUAAUUUUCUUGAACCAGUUUCUUCAUUUAUCCAACGCACGCAGAUAAAGCAGAACCACUUCAGCUGCUUGCUUUAAUUAUGCGUGUUGAAGGUCUAUUAGCUGCUGACUGCAUUGAAACUUGAUGCCUUAGAAACAGCGAAAAAGACGAAUCUUUCAGCCAAUGAGAGCUGAUCUACCCAACGUGGUGAUGUCAUGUACAUCUCUGAUCUCAUCUACCCCACCCUCAAUGUCUUGGAUCAUACUUUUGGGACGCGUACAAUGAAAAAAACAGACCGUUAACGCAGUCAGAACCCACCUUAGGAAAUGACAUGACAACAAAUGGAGAGAUUCAAUCUUCGUGAAAAUGUAAUGGCUGCUGCUGAGGGCUCAUUCAAGAUACGCAAAACAUUGAAACCAGCAAUAGUUCCUGCAUCACGCGUUGCGUGGCGCUGCGAGUCGUUAAAAUUAGCAGGAACUGUGAUGACUGCGUCCGUCACCUCUGUCCCCAAUUAACUUCAACUUUCGGUUUUCUAUCGUCAGCCACGAAUUCGAAAGGCCAGUGCUUCUGAUCAACAUCUUUGAGUUGACGUCCAAGUAGGCGCUUUGUAUCUGAGAUUUUUGACCCUAAUUUGUAACGUCUGGCAACGCCCUUUCGGUCAGGAAAGAGACUUAAUAUUUGGAAUUCCAUACAAGAUGGUAAAUACCUGUUUCAAUUUAUUAUUUAAACAAAUUAGGAUAAUAUUGUGCUUCGAAAUCUAUAUACAUUAUAUGACUACCUUUGUGGUAUUGCAAUCUUACUCGGCAGCCACAUUGUGUACUUUCUGUAAUGUUGCUAGAAAACGGAAUAACGGUCGUAACCCCCUCAAUAUGGAGUUCAUUUAAAUCGAAUUCAUGUUCAAUGUCAGUUGUUUAUUAGAAACUGUACUUAAUUGACAUUGUUUUUCCUAAUCUGGUUCAAUCGAAUGUUGCAUUGCAAUUUCAGUUGUGUGACUUUGAUAAGACGAGCCAAAUGCAACUAUAAGAAUUAUAUUAAAGCAAUAAUAACAGUUAUUAUAAAAUAAUUUUAAAGAAAACGUGGCGCUCUGCGCCAUCUUUCAACAGCUCCGGUAAAUAGGGUUCAGAAAAGUGAAGUUGUCUCGUUCACCAGUAGAAAUUACAGCUCAGGUUAUCCCUUUUUCCUCUACGCAAUUGAAUUUGUGAUUAAACUCACUUUAUCUCACAGUAAAGAAAAACGUAUAAAACUAAAUAAAUAGCGAUUUUAUAUUUACUUACCACAGUGAUGAGUUUUGAUUGCACGCCCUUGUAAUAUUCGUUAUACUUUACGACCACGGUAGCCCUGUAGAAAUAAAAAUAACCAUGCAGGAUUAAAUUCCAUUAAAAUAUCGUAUAAUCUAUUUCGUAAAACUAACAUCAUAACGACUUGUCCUUUGAAGUUAGCAGGUGGAGUCCACAGAAAGGUCUCAGAAGUUUUAUCAGUACGGCUUGUAUGAGUCACGGCGUUCUAAAAAUAAUCUAAGGUGUAUUAAGAUUGCAUUCCUUUUUUAAAUUAAAAUUUUAAUAUCUUACCAUAACACCGCCGGGACAGUUAAUUGUUUUGCCAGUAUUUGAUUCGCCUGCGACAGUGAAAGUGCCAAUAGGUCUGAUACUGUUGCCUGAUCGAGCUUGAAUCAAAUAGCCCUUGAAAGCCGGCACACCGUUGGUUUUUAAAGUCACUGUACAAUUAAAUUAAAAAGAACGUAUUAAAAUUAAGCGUAGAAGAUUGCCUAAUUUAUGCACUUCUCGCGUUUUUGAACAUAUAUGUAUAAAUAUUUGGUAGAAACAUAAAAUUUUAUUUACCUGUUAUAGGGGAUCUCGGACUGGCUUGCUCGCUGCUGAGUACUAUACUAAAAGGAGCAACCCCUUGUUGGCCAAAGAUGAAUGGAAUAUGGAAAGGCGCCAUACUUGUACACGAACUAACAGGAGCGCCACUUGGCAGUGCCGCUACCUGAGCCGCAAAAAGUACGCUCAGAAUGACGAGCGAAGUCAACAUCCUAAAUGUUUGUAGCAGUUAAUUGUUACUUAAGGUAUAAUAUUGAAAAAUUUCAAAAUUUUAUAACUCAUGCUGUACCUCAUGAUUUGCAGACUAAAACGGACCAAAGAGGUGUAAAGGCUCCACCGUUUUUUGAAACGACUGGACCGACCAACGAGUCGGUAACUAAAGACAAACUGGAGCUCUGUGGCGCUUCUAUUAGUAUGGUGAGACUACGAAUUAUAUAAACAUAACGGAUCACUGGAUUGACGAGUGAAGAGGAUCUUCAGUUAGAGAGAUUGAACUCUGUGUCGCAAUGAGGGAAACACCAAGGGGCAUCAAAGCCGGAUUCUUCUUUUUCUGAAUAACUCAAAUAACACGUUUUCGAAGACUCGAGGAAAAGAAAAAACAACAACAACUAGAUUCAAAGAGAAACCGGUAAAACUAGUUUACCGGUUUUACCACUAAAUAAGCAUUGCCUUUUAAAUCAAUGAACUGAAAAAACUUGGUGGACGUAACAUAUCGGGAAUCAGAAACAAAGUGAAUUGCAAACAUUUCAACUGUUUUUACAUUGGGGCCAUUGUCAUCGUUAUGCUAUGUUAAAGAUGACUCCGAGGAAGUGCACAAUGUCACGUAUGGUUGAUGGAAAAAAGAAAGUAUAUUUUCGUCAUUUUGGGCCGUCUCUUGCGAUCAUCAGUUAUCUUCGCCUGCGUUGGAGGUCAUCACCAUCUUUAUCCAACUAAUAUUGCUGUCGCCCAGGACAACUUUUCUUUUUAGGGCUGGAAAUUUUUUAUCGCUGGUAAUCUUUUUGGAAAUCAUGUGAGGUGAUCGGUCAGAUGUACAGUGACUUCGAUUUUAUUUCUUUCGAGUUAAGUGGUAGGAAACCCAGAAAUGUUUUAUGUAAUCAAUCACGUACGCUGAGAGCCAGCCACUUCAAAAUUGAAUCUGAAAUCACCUCUCGUGGACUCGGUGAUAAAUCGCUCCCAUGGCUUACCUCGCAAUUACUAACAGAACCAGUAAGAAAAUUUUAAUUCUUAACGGGACUAGGGAUUCAAUGGGUGUGUUAAGUGAUUCUCUCUGCCCGAGGUACCGACUUUAAAAAUAUUGCCAAUUUUUUUAACAGUUUGUUUCUGGUAAACCUUGUUUAAUAGUGUGAAACAAAGCGCCUUUCUUACUGACAGCGGAUUGCUUUGAGUCAAAUUCUGGAUUUUCAAUCUCAGUUUGAAAGACUAGUGAAAAACAUUACCAAUUGUGGCCAUUGAUUACAGGUGGGUUGACCAGUUAAGCGUUUCCAUUUGCUUAGCUUUUACACUGACCUUCCCUGUAAGUAUAUAUAUACAUAUAUAUGUAUAUAUUAUUUUAUUUUUUUUAUGACUCCUGGGGCUUGAUUUCUUUACCUGUUCAUUAAAGGUCCUAAUUCCGAAUGCCCUCCAAAGAUUAUUAUGGUAUUUCAAAACCUAAGCUGUAUUUUAUGCAAAUUGUUAGACCGGUUUUCAGAAGAGGCCUUCUACCUUCGAAUCGACUUGCUAUUUUAGAUUGUUUAAGAACAUUUUUGACAUAGAUAUCGUUAAAGAAUGGCUUGAGCCAGAGGUUUUUGUUUUGACCACCCUUUUUUUCGUCUGUAUCUGUCUUUGUUUCUGGGGGUUUCGGUUAUCUGUCUUUGUUUUUAAGAUGCCUAAAAGACGUAAGUUUAUUCUGCGCCCGGGUUGAGAAAAACAGUUGCGGCUAUGGACGUUGUAUACGCUUUGGAACGUCAGGGUUGCACUCUGUACGGUUUCGUUAGUUAAUAUACGCGUACCAUUUUGAACCCACUGGCUCUUUUCCUGGCCACCAGUAUUUUAAGAAACUGAAAUUGUAGAUUAAUUUCAAAUCGCAUGUAAUUUUCAGUGUUAUUACUAAAAAUGGAAAACGAAUGAUCGUGCUAGCUUAACUUAAUAGUAAGACAUUCGUUAUGGAAAUGCGCCUUGAAUUUACAAAUUCGCAUUUAAAUUAACAUUGUAGCUUCCACAGCUUCCUAAAAAUUAGUGUAUUUACAAAGACACAGACGGAUGCCUUUCGCACACUUGAGAAUUUUUAGACAACUUCACCCUAUUAGGAGAGGACUACCCUAAUAGAAAGGUGCCUUAGCAUGUAGGAAAUUUUUCUAUUAACAAUAAUCUUCUUCUGGCAUAGUUUUAAAUGGAAUAGAUGGCGUUUGAUUAAACAAGCGGAACAGCAGCUGUUUUUUUUUAUUGUUUUGUGACUCAGAAAGAACCGUUUGAUUGGAGAAAUAAGAAACGAUAUUCUUGGUGCUCGUGUACUGGGUCACAGCCUUUGUUCCUUCAGACACAACGUGCUUGGCCAACUCACACAGGGUAAUCUCCCCCGGUGGCCAACUGAAGCAGUGUCUCCCCCUGCCUUGGUUGACGGCAACUUUUGAAGGUAUUAUUUUGCACUUCAAAACUUGCAAAUCAUUGUAUUGUGUGGAGAAAAGUCAAUAAAAAUUUUUAUUUGA
rnacentral:lncRNA from 1 species